GUAUUUGAACAACAAUCAAAUAACUACAAUACAGCUAGGGGCAUUUCAAAACCUACGAACGUUAACCACUCUUGACCUGUCAAAUAAUGAUUUAACCAUGCUUGAAGAAAAUAUAUUCGAAGAUCUGACGGCGCUUCAAUCCUUGUAUUUGGACAGCAAUCAAAUAACUACAAUACAGCAAGGGACAUUUCAAAAUCUACAAGAGCUAUUCCGUCUACAAUUGCGUGAAAACAAAUUGACAUUUGUCAGGGAAGACACUUUUGAAAAUCUCACUAGUUUAAA